AUAGCUCAGUGGUAAAGCACUCACCUCACAUGUAUGAAGUCCUGGGUUCAAUCCCCAGU
rnacentral:tRNA from 1 species